GAUGAACGCUAGCGGCAGGCCUAAUACAUGCAAGUCGAACGAGAUUCUUUUCUUCGGAAGAGAUGACAGUGGCGCACGGGUGCGUAACGCGUAUGCAACCUACCCUUUACUGGGGGAUAGCCCGGAGAAAUUCGGAUUAAUACCCCAUGGUAUUCCAAGAUGGCAUCUGAAAGGAAUUAAAGAUUUAUUGGUAAAAGAUGGGCAUGCGUGACAUUAGCUAGUUGGUAAGGUAACGGCUUACCAAGGCAACGAUGUCUAGGGGUUCUGAGAGGAUGAUCCCCCACACUGGUACUGAGAUACGGACCAGACUCCUACGGGAGGCAGCAGUAGGGAAUAUUGGUCAAUGGGCGAGAGCCUGAACCAGCCAUGCCGCGUGCAGGAAGACGGCUUUCUGAGUUGUAAACUGCUUUUAUAUGGGAAGAAAAAGGCCAUGCGUGGCAAAUUGCCGGUACCAUAUGAAUAAGCACCGGCUAACUCCG
rnacentral:rRNA from 1 species